rnacentral:rRNA from 1 species
CUACGGGUCGCACCAGUGAGGAAUAUUGGUCAAUGGGCGUAAGCCUGAACCAGCCAAGUAGCGUGAAGGAUGACUGCCCUCUGGGUUGUAAACUUCUUUUAUAGGGGAAUAAAGUGCAUCACGUGUGAUGUUUUGUAUGUACCCUACGAACAAGGACCGGCUAACUCCGUGCCAGCAGCCGCGGUAAUACGGAGGGUCCGAGCGUUAUCCGGAUUUAUUGGGUUUAAAGGGUGCGCAGGCGGGAUGUUAAGUCAGUUGUGAAAGUUGGACGCUCAACGUUCAAAUUGCAAUUGAAACUGGCAUUCUUGAGUGCAGUGGAGGUAAGCGGAAUUCGUGGUGUAGCGGUGAAAUGCUUAGAUAUCACGAAGAACUCCGAUUGCGAAGGCAGCUUGCUAUACUGCAACUGACGCUCAUGCACGAAGGUGUGGGUAUCAAACAGGAUUAGAUACCCCCGUAGUC